CUAUGGUUUAAGGACCCGUUUAAAUUCCUCGCCCUGCUCGCGGUAUGGCCUUUAUCAUGCUGACUGGAGCUUUUGUGUUGGAAACCAAGCUACCAAAAAUGGAACCAAUUGGCAAUAAUAAUCCCUAUGCUCAAUGGGAUCGAAAGAAGUUGGCAGGAAGCUGAUCACCAUAGUUAAAAGCCAAUGAGUUUUCAAGUUUGGAUCUAAGGCACCGUAUGAGAGAAAAUGUGUCCAGCAUGUGCAUCCACCUAGAGGUUUGCAAGUGUGGAUUUAAGGUCUCCAAAAGAAGGACAUGUCUCGUGCAUCUAUUCACAGGUUAACAUAAUGCCAGGAUGCAUCAGUCUUUCAGGUCACUAGAAGCUUCAAUGCAGUUGUCUUAAAGCUGGUUGGAGCCAAACUGCAGGAUAUAGGGCCUUCCAGCACGAGAAUUGCCCACCCUGAGCUAUUGUGUUGUGUACUUUGUUUUAAAACGUAUAUGUUUAUGAUGCCAGUUUGUUUAUUUAAAAAAUGUUUUCAGUCCUAAUGUUGAGACUGUAAUACUUCAAUAAGUAAUGAUUCAUGAAAAUAAUAGGAUGAUUAAUAAAAUAAGUUUGAAAAGAAUG